UCCCUGGUGGCUCAGAGGUUAAAGCAUCUGCCCACAAUGCAGGAGGCCUGGGUUUGAUUCCUGGGUCGGGAA
rnacentral:tRNA from 1 species